rnacentral:rRNA from 1 species
UCGGGAAUUUUGGGCAAUGGGCGAAAGCCUGACCCAGCAACGCCGCGUGCGGGAUGAAGUAUUUCGGUAUGUAAACCUCGAAAGAAUGGGAAGAAUAAAUGACGGUACCAUUUUUAAGCUCCGGCUAACUACGUGCCAGCAGCCGCGGUAAUACGUAGGGAGCAAGCGUUGUUCGGACUUACUGGGCGUAAAGGGCGCGUAGGCGGCGCGGUAAGUCACUUGUGAAAUCUCUGAGCUUAACUCAGAACGGCCAAGUGAUACUGCUGAGCUAGAGUGCGGAAGAGGCAACCGGAAUUCUUGGUGUAUCGGUGAGAUGCGUAGAUAUCAAGAGGAACACCUGGGGCGAAGGCGGGUUGCUGGGCCGACACUGACGCUGAUGCGCGAAAGCCAGGGGAGCAAACG